rnacentral:lncRNA from 1 species
UCUUGCUUUUAGGUUCCAAUCAACUCAUCUAACAUAGGUGCAGUGACUAUAAUGACUAUGCAUGGGUUUACAAACGCUUCCUCCUUUCCUUUUCACAUACUCCGUAUAACGAAUAAAGAAAUGGAAAAAGAAACGCGCAGGCAUAUAUGAACAUAUCCAUUUUAUCCAAAUAAAAUCGAGACUGUGGUUUUUUUUUUUUGGCGACAAAAUGUACAAUGAUUUUUUUUUACAGCAAAAUCUAGAAUGAUUUGACUAGUGGAAAGAGCAACGAAGGCCAGCUAUAUAGUUGUUCCUUUUCAAAUGAAACAUACUUGACACCUAUGGGCAUACAUAUAUAUUAUAAACUAACAGCUACUGUUAGCUACCUAAGUUGGAUGUCGUAUCAAUUUAAACUUUUUUCUAAUAAAUCUAUACCUAAUAUUAAACAACGAAGUGAUUGUUUUGUUCACGUUUUUUUUAUUUUCCAUAAUACCCUUUUGUCUCUCCUUAUCUCAUAAAGAACUCAGACUUAAUUAGGGCCAUGCUCAAAUAUGUUAUGUGUCAAGCAACGGCAUAUAGAAUCUAAUUUUAAUAUAUAUUUUUUGUGUGUUUUUGCAGAGUGUGCAUGCCGCACACACAGAUACACCACAACAUCUUACUAUCUUAGGCUGUGUAAGGUGUGCUUACUAGGAACAGAUGAUUUGACUAUUAUAUAAAAUUUCCGGGCCAUUCCAAUAAUAAGACAUUUCGUUGUGCUAUUGACCGAGCAACAAGUAAUUCGUUCCGAUGCAUUGAACGUAUAUAUACAUUUGAUGUCCCAAUAAUAGUAAAUCAACCAUGAUGUGCUUCAUCUGAUCCAUUAGUUUAUUAUAAGUCGCGCAUACUCCCUCCAUACCCAAAUUAGCUGACGUUUAGGACAUGAUUGUGCUUACCAAGGAGUCAUUAAUUAGAAGGUAUUUUUCUCUGUCUACCCCUAUUAAAUAAGGUGUCGGGUGCAGUCCUCAUAAUAAAGCUACUCAGCUCAAAUGGUUAGUGCAGUAAGGCUGUAGGGUGGUGUGCAGUGUUCGACUCGUGGUGACCACAAGUUUUUGCGGAGGUUUUGGUUUUGCCUGUAUGGCUGGCGGUCCGUUUCGGCUGGGCGUGUGCGCGCUGAGCCGCAUGCGGCAUGGGCUGGCGUGCGCUGGGACGUUUGGACUGCUUCGCGAGCGC